AGCCUCCCAAAGUGCUGGGAUUACAGGCGUGAGCCACCGUGCCCAGCUACAUCAUUUUUUUUGGUUUAGAAAUAUGUAGAAUGUAUGUAAUGUGGAAUAACAACAGACAUGUCAGCUAGUCUUAAUUUAGUGAACACAAUAGAGAAUUGCAUCCCACCAGACAUGUAUUGACUUAACUAAAGGUUUAAGACUUCACAGACACAGGAGGAUGAUGGGAGCGUGUGAACAGACAACAGACAGGCUCGAACAGACGCUGAGCUGCAAGCAGACAUCACAGCACCGAGAGAGGGGAAGCGCUGCAAACUGGGAGAGUCGUGUUAUGGGAUCUUCAGGGUGUCGUUUUUCCGGCCAAAACCUCUGUGGCUGGGGGGCCUUUGCCCGAGUUUUGCUCAGGCUUGCUGGGCUCAUUUCACCCACUUGGGCUGGCAGGCUGCCCUCGGCUCACACUACAGGCCUGGGUCCCAUGCCUGCCAAAGGCGAGUCAGGCAUGGAAUGGUGAGGCGUGUGUGAGCGCGUGGGGUCUGGCCACGGUGCACUGGCAGACAUGCCAGCUGCUUCAGCCAGGCGAGCAGCUCUAGGUGCUGGCUCCCUGUGAGGCGUCAGCCAGAGCGAGCACACGGCAAGCAGCUUCCACAGCGUGGCACUGGGGAACACGGUGGUGCCCGAAAGUUUAGACACACCAGGAACCACAGGGUCCCAAAGAGGGAAUCACAGCCCUGGCUUGGGGAGCUCCCAGGUCUGGGUUCCCCAAAGGGCCGCAGCUCCUCUCUCCUUUGCUUCACCUGUAAUGUGGCAAGCAAAGGGCACAUCUCAGCCCUGUUUGUGCUACAGCUCUUUUAGCCUUGCCAUUUGGCAGGUCCUGAGUUCUUGUCCUGCAUCCGAGAACGAGGUACGCAGACAAGUGGAGAGUGAGCAAGAUGAAGAGAAGCUUUAUUGAGUGAUAGAUAGAACAGCUUUGAGGAAACCCACAGGGGGGCAGCUCCUUUCUGUAGCCAGGGUGUCCCAGCGUCUGUUCAGCUCGGAGCAGAAAGGGUAGCUCCUCUCUGUGAGGCAAGUCAUCCCAACCAGUGUUCAGCUGUCAGCAGAGAGAGUAGCUCUUCUCUGCAGCUGGUCGUCCCAUCGUCUCCCUGUCAUCGCUCCAUCGUCUCUGCAGCUCUCAGCAAAGAGGGGGUCCUGGAGUAGGUUGCUCCUGUCUGCAGGUGGUCGUCCCAACAUUUGCUCAGCUCUGGCUGAGCCUGGGGCUUUUAUGGGCCUCAAUGGGGAGGAAGUGCAUGCUGUGCCAAUUGGUCCAAGGGAGGCCAUGGGCAGGCCUGAAAAAGGCACCGUAAGUUCCCACUCCAGUUCACAGGACUGGCAGCCUUGCCCCCAGCCUUCAAGCCCUUCCUGGCCUGAAGGGGGCGCCUCACCAAGGACCUGCCCCCUUCCACCCAGGAACCGGUCUGCCUCCUGCUGCCAUUCAUGGUGCCAAGGGUGCCUUCAGGCCAGCACCAAGCUGCCCUCAGUCCCCACUUGGCUUUCCUCCUACGCUUAUCAGUGCCCAAAGUCCAGAGGGGGCCGAGGUGGCAAGGGGCUGGCAUAUCAGCAUUGCCCCAAGUGUGUGCACACCCAGUCAGGCUGUGACAGCACCUGAACUCAGCUCCAACUUUGCUCCAAAGAUGGCCUGCUGCUGCCAUCAGCAGGACCAAUCAGUCCCCUACCCACCAGAGGCAAGGAAUUAGCAGGCACCGCUGUGCCAGGCCUGUGAGGCCGCAGGGUCAUGAGCCCAGGCUGGAUUCCGUGCAGAGUCUCUGCCAUGUGGGGCCAUGGGGUUUACCUGGAUCCCAUUCAAAUCAUUCAGGCCCUGACUGCUCAGCUUCAGGGAAGCCAGGCCCACUCCUCCUCCUCACAUACUUGCCUAAUCUUGCCAAAGCCCUCGAGGUAGGGGAAGGAGGAAGCCCAGGGUCAUGGAUGUCAAUCUAUUCAGCAUCCAUCCCCUUCCUCAUUCCUGACAGUUCAGGUCUCCUUGCCUCUUCCCACAGCCAUGAUGAUGGGAGGGCGGGAAUGGGGACUAGGGACUGGCCUCAGUAGACAGUAGCCAACGGGUACAUGCCAUUCCCUGCCAGUCACUAGUCUGGGUGGGCCUGUGACCUCAGCAGUCCACACAGCAUGGGUCCCAGGGCUCUGCUGAGAGGGCCGGGAGCAACAGCAUCCCCUGGUGGGGCCCCGAUAAGCAGUGUGUGGCCCUGCCUGCUACGGUGGCACCCCAUGGCCACAGAGAUGCCAGAGAACCAACACCCUCCUGGGGCAGAAGCCGGGUGCUGGGGCCUCUUGUUCGCUGCCGAAAGCAUCUGGGCUGAUUCAAACGACCCCCUCCAAUCUUGGAGAAACACACCUUGGCAAAGGCAGCAGGAAGAAUCGCUGAAAAGUGGUGGAAACAGAUACAUUCCUGAAAGCUCAGGCAGGGGCUGGUUUCCAGAAGGGAUCAUUGAAAAGUACCAAUGCUUACAAAACCCACCAGCAAGGGAGUGACAGCAGGAGCCAGACGAAAGAUGAUGUCAAAUAGAAGCACAGGCUGUCAGCAAGAGACUGCCGUGCCCAGUGACUUCACCCUAGUGCUGUGAGUUUCACUAAGCUCGGAACUACUGUCUUGGUCCAAGCCCAAGUUCAUAUUUGUGCUAUUUGUUUAAAAAUAUAAAAAAAGGAUGUGAGCAAAUGUCUAGCAAAAAGAGCAGUGCAAGAAGACAUGCCACCCGCCUAAGACAACACAUGGCUUCCAAGGCUUGGCAGGUGCCCGCACAGGGACACAGAUGCAGCUAAUUACCAGCCACUGUUCAAGUCCUAAAGACUGCAUUUGAGGAACGCUGGGUUUAUAAUCCUUUCUUUUAGUACUUUAAUGACAGAAUCAGUCUAUUAGUGUGCUUUAUAAUUCAGGAUUUUGUGGGGUUUUGUGCGAUAAAGUCUGGAUCUGUCGCCCAGGCUGGGGUACAGUGGCACCAUCUUGGGUCACUGCAGCCUCCGCCUCCUGGGCUUGAGUGAUCCUCCCAUCUCGGCCUCCCAAGUAUCUGGGACUACAGGUGUGCACCACCAUGCUCAGCUAAUUUCUGUAUUUUUGCUAGAGAUGGAGUUUUGCCAUGUUGGCCAGGCUGGUGAUCCACCUGCCUUGGCCUCCCAAAGUGCUGGGAUUACAGGAGUGAGCCACUGCGCCCGGCCACGAUUCAGUCUUAUUAAAUCAACCAAGUGUCUGUGAUGUGGCCCAAAGGUCAGGCUUUUCCUUUCCCGUGCUGAUAGCUGCCCUGUGUCUGGGCGUCUUCCUCACCAGGAGAGUGGCUCAGGCACCGCUGGGCCUUUUGCAACCUGUAGUACAGCCCUGGUGGUGCUGGGCCCUGAGUAGGUGGUGAGCCUGCUGCUUACCCACCAGGACAGGCACUGGACAGGCCCUGUGGAGUGGCAGGCACCCCUGUCCAGUAUUCAGCCUCUUCCUCUGCAGGGGCUGUCCCUGCCUGGCAGGCAGAGUCCAGGGACGCCUUGGACCACCAAAUCCUCAACAGCCCUCAGCUCAGGGGCAUAUCAGCUGGCUUCUCCUGCCAGUAGGGGCAAUGAGGCCUCGGUGGGGCUCAGCUGGAGGUGGACCUCAAAGAGCCCAGGCCAGAACCCACUGUCAGGCGGUGGGCAGAGGUAGUAUCAGUGACAUUCUUUUUAACCAAUGAGUGCUUAACUGAAGCAACUACUGGCACUGAAAUAAUAUUUUAAAAGUGUUCUCUUAAGAUUUAGUUUGGCCAGGAACAGUGGCUCACACCUGUAAUCCCAGCACUUUGGGAGGCUGAGGCGGGCGGAUCACUUGAGGUCAGGAGUUUGAGACCAGCCUGGCCAAUAUGGUGAAACCCCAUCUCUACUAAAAAUAUAAAACUUAGCUGGGUGUGGUGGCACACGGGUGUAAUCCCAGCUACUUGGGAGGCUGAGGCAGGAGAACUGCUUGAACCCAGGAGGCGGAGGUUGCAGUGAACUGAGAUCGUGCCACUAUACUUCAGCCUGGGUGACAAAGCAAGACUCUGUUUCAAAAAAAAAGAUUUAACUUAACGUAUUUGAUUAAAGCAUCAUUUUAAAAAUGUGAACCACGUGCUCAGUGUCUCCUCAGGCUGCAGCUAGCAAGGAUGUGCACAUGACUCAGGACAGCUCCAUCAAAGCUUUGGGAAGUUGUCGGAGGGAAGUCUGAACUGGGAGAGAACGACUCAAAGGCCUCAGAGAGCCUGAGUGGGCAGCUCCUGCCCACAGUGCCACACCUGGGCACAGCCCUCUCCGCUGGCUCACACCCAGGUGGCGUCAGCAUCAGGUGAAGACGCCCGGGAUGGCCCACUCCCUUCCAAGCUCCCCCAAACUUUGCUGCUUUAUGGAUCUAACACCCCCACUCAGUGACUGGAUCCAGAGCCGGCAUCACCGGCAGGCAGCGUGGGUCCACGGCAGGCCCCAGGAAGGCUGGUGCACGGCUGACAUGGCCCAGCGCAUGCCUGGCACACGACGGGCACGGCCCAUGCCAAGGCCCCACGUGACAUGACAGAGAAGCGGCCACAGAGUCCCGCCUCAGGCACUAAGCCAGUUUAACAACAACCAGAAAAGUGGCUUCAGACAGUGGCAACAUUUAUUUUGCUCACACAUCUGUAUCUGGAGCGGGGCUCACGGGCGGCUGGGCUCUGCUCUGCUCAUCAGCUGGAGUGGCUUGAGGUGCCUGUAGGCUCACCUGUGUGUAGCUGGUCAGCGCGGGCUGGCAGACAGGACACAUGCAUGGCCUGUCCCCACGGCCUGGGCUUCCUUCCAACAUGGCACCCGGGCCAAGCCUGAGCCCCCUCAACCUGUCAGUCACAUGGCAGCUACCUCCCCAGCAGGCCGCAGAAACCUCCCCAGGAUCAAGAGCGGGGAACUCCCUUCCAGAGGAGCACAGGGGACUGGAGAUGUCAUUCCUGCCAUCAGACCCUGGACACUGCCUGAGAGAAUCCUUCCGUACAGAGAAGCAGGAAUCAGAACGGCUUUACGUUGCUCAAGGUAAAAGGCAAUGCCUUCAGCUCUGAGUGAAAACCAUUUCCAAAGCCGAAUGUUCCCCCUUCCUCAUUCCCAUUUCUGUUGAACUCUGACUGUGCACAGAGCUCUGGAGCGCAGGGCAAAGGCCUCCCUGCCCGCCCCGAUUGGCAGCUGCCAGAGGGCAGGAAAGGAGAAAACAGUGAGGGGACGGGGAACCUGCAGCCCCUUCCCUCCUUCCACCAGGUAAACAGCCACCGGGGAGAGGCAGGAAACAUUUUCAACUCAAGGUCUCCCCUGGCUCAGACACUCGCCCGCCCAAGCCACUGUCCAGAGAUAAGGCAGAGUUUGGCAGCAGAGGCAGGAGUGGGCAUGAGCCCUGUACCCCAAGGGUAUAGGACCCACCUGCGACGGCGGAGCCAGGAGCAGGCAGCAGCAGCCCUCUGCGAGGGAGGGCAGGAACAGACACCAGGCACAGCGCAGCAUCCAAGGCCUGCUGGCACCUAAGGAGGGGCAGGGCCACUCUGGCACCCACACCAUGCGCAGGGUGGCCGUGGCCACUGCUGGAAGAAUUGGAAGCCUGUGGUGCCCGCAGGGACAAAGGCAGCCCCAAGCCCACAGCCAGCUCACCUGGUGACCACACCCACCCAGGUCCUGUCCCAAGGGGAGUGCCUGUUUCUGGGCGUGAGGACUAUUCAUCUAGGUCUCCACUGUUCUACAAAAAGACCCCCGGCAUUCAGUAAACUAUGAGAUAAACACCAGACAAUCCACGGCCACGAAAUAAAGCUACUGACAGAAGCAGACCCAAGAAUGUCCGGCGCCAACUGUCACACAGCCACACCCCCACGACACGCCCAGCAGCGCACCCCGCUCCCCUCCAUGUGGGUGUCCACGCUGCCUCUGUAACCCCUGCCGCCACAGGCGAGGCUGCAGUGAGCGUCUCUGCGCAGGUCUGUGCCACCCACGAUGUUUCGGCCAACAACAGACCUAGCAGACCAAGGAGGUCCCGUGAGGUUACAGCGGAGUGGAGAAGUCCCUGUCAGAACGUGGAGCACAGCGUAUCUCCCGUGUCUGGUGCUGCCAGCGCACAUAAGUGCACACAGUAACAUCCUAGGCUUCCGUGCUCGCUCAUACUCCCUGACGCACUGACAGCUCCUGCCAAUGAAUGAACAAAGUAAGGAAUUGAAGAAAAGAUUCUUGGACAUGUGAAUGGACCUGAAGAGUCCGAUGCAGUGUGGUCCUGGUUUCCCAAUAUGCAGGGGUCACUACAGACCCUACAUGUCACCAGAAAACAUGAAAACACUCUCAAUGUUUUACCUAAAAUGGAAAAGCGGCUUUCGGUGACAUGAGCUUUAUAAAAUAAAACAUUCAUAAAGCAAGUUUCUAUUUUUAAUUUUUUUGCUUUGAUAAAUCAAUUGCUUCACAAAAAUCCUUUUUAAAGACAACAAUCCAAGAAAACAUAUUGUUACAGUAUUCACAUUUCAAAGAUUGUCAGUUUCAAAGACCGAACAUAACUAGAACGAAAGAAGAUUGCUGAGUUCUUUCUAAGUGCCAGGAAUGGGCUUUCGCAGGGGGCAGAACCCCAGCUGGGCACCCUGAUUCCUCACACAGGCAGGAGACGGAUCACUCUCAGGUCACGCAGACACAACUCCCGGAGCCCUUAGCCGUGAGGGUUUCCUUUGCAUACUGGAUAAACACUUCCACUCAUCUUACUAUCUGGAAUCAAAGCGCAAAGGCCAAGCUAGUCCCUCGCAGGAGCGUGCAGGAACCCAGCACAGCCAGCCCUGCCACUCCUGCUCAACAGGUACAGGGCAGCAACAACAGCAACAUGCUCAGUUUGGGUCUCAAGACACAUUCAAAGGGAGCCUUCAUAGGGAAAAAUUCAACAAGAAUAAAACUGGGAUCAAAUCUGAUCAUUUAAAAUGAAAUCUUAAAGGGGUCACACUUUUACAGAUUCUUUCCACUGUCCGAGGGCUGGGGAACAGGUGUUUUAAGGUGCCAACUGACCUCAAACAUGCUGGGCAGUGAUUUUACAAACUGAAACGGCUUGCCAUGUAGAAGCUAGUUAAAAGCACCCAGUGGAGAGAGGUUAAAGGAAACUCAGGCUAUGUCCAUAAGCACCCUCUCUCUACAUGAUCUUUAUCCUAUUCCUCUGAAUUUAGUAAGAAUUUAGGAAAGUUGAAAGUUUUCAGCUGGAGAAUGCACACUGUACCAUUCAGCAUGGGUGUUUAACUCUCAGGCCAGAGCUUCCCAGUGCCACCGAGGUUCACACAGUGCCCUCUUUUUAUAGAUGGGGUCUCACUGUGUUGCCCAAGAUGGAGUGCAGUGGCUAUUCACAGGUGCAGGCACAGUGCACUGCAGCCUCAAACUCCUGGCACAUGCCAUCCUCUGCCUCAGACUCCCGAGCAGCUGGAACGAGAGGCACGCUCUACUGUGCUGGGCAAGGGCAGUGUUUAAAUUCCAUCCACUGCUCAGUGAAUGUGAUUUCUAAUGCGGGAAAGAAACCGUGACCUAUACAUGAGUCUACAUUCUGUGAAUGGCUUCCACCAAUCUACACUAAAGAGCAGGCAGCCCAAGAGACGGAGGGUGGUGAGGGAAGGAGGAAGGGCUGGCUGGCUUUCAUGGGUGCUUAUUUUAAAAAGUCAACAAAGUUGGAACUUAGGUUAAAAUGAUCUUGUAGACUUGACUUAAAAUAUGAGAAAACAGUUCACAAAUGAGGAAUGCAAUGGUGGCUUCAUUCUCGGCCAGGCAUGGUGGCUCACGCCUGUAAUCCCAGCACUUUGGGAGGCCGAGGCAGGUGGAUCACCUGAGGUCGGGAGUUUGAGACCAGACUGACCAACAUGGAGAAACCCAUCUCUACUAAAAAUACAAAAUUAGCCAGGCGUGGUGGCGCAUGUCUGUAAUCCUAGCAACUCGGGAGGCUGAGGAAGGAGAAUCGUUUGAACCAGGGAGGUAGAGGUUGCAGUGAGCUGAGAUUGCACCAUUGCCCUCCAGCCUGGGCAACAAGAGCAAAACUCUGCCUCAAAAAAAAAAAAAAAAGUCAUUCUCUCCCCAAAAGAGCUGAUAAUCAAGUCUUUCAGUUAAAGCUCCUGAAAGAUUUUAAAAUACAUUUCUGUAUGUUUCCCGCUGACUUCUAAGUUAUCUAGAAGUACUCCCCUAUGAUUAACUUCAAUUAAUAUAUUCUUUUGGGAAAAAUCAGUUCCAGAAAAAACACUUCACUCGCUUAAAAUGUCCCUUGGCUUACAACCAAUCAUUACUGUUGAAUCUCAAGAAUUAAAGACAUUCCUGACCCUAUAAACAAAUGAACUUGGGCCAUACCAUUUCAGAUGAUAUAAAGACAUUCUGUAUGAAACACUGUGGCCUGUUUUCUGAGAAAAAGCACCACUCCUAAGUAAACAAAUGAAAACAAAUCAAAACCGAAGAAAACAGAACCCAGCCCACUCUUUCAGUUCAUCUUGUUACCAGGAAACAUUAGUCCUACAGUUACUCCAAAUCUCAUACGGUCAAGUGAGCAGGAGGGCUCUGGAAAGUCAAAAGCAACAACGUACAACAAGAGAACACUGACACCAGGAGACCAGCCACAAAUGCAAACGUGGGAGCCAACCCGUGGGGGCUGCCACUGCGCCCUCGCCAGACCAACUCGCUGCUGGGACUCCAGGGAUGUCGGCUAGUUAAGUAAUAAAGUCUGAAUAUCUGCUGCUUGCCCUAGCUCUGAGCCAAUGGGGUAGAGCACAUUUUAUAUUAGUUUAUAAUAAACAUUCUGUGCAUAA